AGUACCACCUCCACAUGAAAAGCACGCAUGUGGUUUAACAGUGCACAUCGUGAAGACUGCAAAUUAAAACAUUUGCUGGAUGAUGCUGCAACAACCUGGUAACAGUACUGAAAUCUCUCUUCCUUAGCUGACAUAUGCCAGUCAGAAAGACGCCAAGUGCUUGUCAGCACAAAACGGGAGCAGAAUAGUUGCACAAAUGGACCUAAGUGGAUUGCUGCAAAGGAAGAUGAUGCGAGUGUUUACAGGUAAAUUAUGAACCUACUGGCAGGCGAGCAUUCCCAAGAUUACUAAGCAGAGCCUGAAGUUGCUUCUGAAACUGGAAAGUGGAACCAUACACUACACACUGGACAGCUCCAGAAACAAAGACCUACAUUGCUCGAAACAGGUUUGCGACGUGCAACAAGCUACACACAUCGAAGAAAGCUAGGCCACUGAAAACAUGGAUCUUGCUAACAACAGAGGUCUCAACUUACUGCUCAACUUCCUGCUCAUCGUUAUGGUGCUCUUUCUGAUGUUCAUCCUUGUCAAGUUGCUGUGAAAACCUCUAAGCAGCCAUUGGGUCUUCCUUCCUUAAACACGAUCGCAAUGUAGUAUGGGGAAUUCAGCAUGCAAGUGUGGGACAGAUGUGACAAUACUGGGUGUCAGGCAAAAACUCGAAUCAUCACCCACUAGGCAUGGCUGGGAGCAAAUGCUUGACUACACAAGAUGAGCAGACUUAGAUUGAAGGAACACCUCCACACUACACUCAGCAAGGAAUGAGUAAAGUCAGCGAGUCAAAAUGAGCUAAUACACCCAGGGAAAUCAAUAUUUAGCAGCUGCAAUUUCUUUACUUGUCUAAAAGAGGCAUUAUUUUAUAUCUUGCAAAUGGGUAUUUAUGUGGCAUUCAACCUAGUGUAGGAUUGAAUGAACAUGCUAAGGACAUACAAUCAAACGUGAACACAAAGCUCAAAGCAAAAUGCAGAAUCUUGGAUAACACGGUCUUUCUCUGUUAACAAAAACCACUGAGCUGAAACUUCACUUGGAGAUGGUUUAAAGAAUCGGCUGUGCUUUGAAACUAACUGCAAUAAGUACUCAUGUUUCUUCCAUCCUCCUGAAUGUCAGGCCAAGGGAAAAAACAGCAUUCUGCUUUUCUGCUGUCAUCUAGUCUGCAGACUGCAAGCUCCAGACAAGCAUUACUCCCCAUGUACAACCCGGGAAACAAUGCUGCAGUAUAGAAUUAAACAGUUUUUCUCAGCUGCAUCAAAACAAACCAAGAUAUUAAAUGAACACAUCUGUGAUAGUAACAAUAAAUACACUAUUCGGCUGGACAUAGAUACAGAAGACAACUUGCAGAAUUGGAAAGAAGUAAAAAUUUGACUAAACCAAUAGCACAGGAAAAUAAGCACAAAAUGCAUCCAAAAAGACAGCAAUAUAGACAUCUGGUUUCCAUUUAUGCUCAUUGACCACUGUGAAAAUUACUGUUAUUGUAUUACCUAACUAUACAGGUAGCAAGGACUGCAAACUAAAAAUAAUUGUAGUAUCACAGUGUACAAAUCACUUGAAUCACAUUUAUAUAUCCCAGUGAAGCACUUGUAUACAAACCUAUAUAAAACAAUCAUAAUAAUUCAUCUACUUCAGAAUGGUAGGUACAUAUUUUCACCUGUGUUUACUCAGCAGAUCUCGUUUAAAUGCAUUUAUAAAAUUAGUAAAUAUAUUAUAAUGCCAGCACUGUCACCCAUUUACAGUGAGAAGCUAGGUCUAUGCUUUUUUACUCGUGACAGUAACAAAAAACAAACAAACUUUUUUUCCAAGUUUUAGUUACUGCUCUUGUAAAUAUCAAGUCACAUUUUUAAGCUGACUUGUUAUCCUUUUGACCUACAUUUCCACAUUUUAACUACUUAAGCACUGUGAGAUUGUUCUCUUUUGUUAACAGCUUUAAGUACUCCUUUAAAAUCAAUACUGCUUGUCUCUUUUACUGACUUUCAUUUCCUUGCACUCGAAAUAGUAAAGCCUGCAGGCCGCUGGGCUUUGGUAAUAAGAGAAAUAUAAAGCUGAGAAUGGCUAUACAGUGGUUUGUUGUACAAUAGCACAUAACCCCACUUAAACAGCACUUUGUUAUAUGUAGCCAACAGCUACAAAUCCCCUACUCCAUCAAGCAAUAACCUUUUCAGUAUGAAUGCUGAAUUGUUCAUGCUAGUUGGGUAAAAAAACAGCAUUGUCUGAAUGAACAGAAUAAAUGUGUGCUCUCUCAAAAAGUUUGGUACAGUAAUCCCAAGGUAAAACAGAUUCCACUAGGAAGCUGAGAUGCACUCCUUGGGAGCAAUAAAAACAAAUGAUCAUGCAUUUGACAUGACAUCAUUCCUAUUAAUAAUUUGGUGCUGCCAUUAAAGUAUAUUUCACUUACACAGAGCACUAUUCUGCAAGAAUUAGAGCAAACGUACACAGAGAGCAACUCUUUUUGGAAUUUGGCCCAAUGUGAUACACAACAAGUGAAAAAAAAAUCACACGGCAAGCAUAAAGAAUAAAAGGUAAACAUCCAGUUUUUAUGGUUAUGAAUCUUUCACUGGCAACUUUAACAAAUUCUGGGUCUGAAAAAAAAAAAAAACAAAGUUCUGCUCUCUCUUUAUGGUGGCAUUUUACUUUUGAUGAAUGUUUUCUUGCAUUUAUUAUUAAACACAAUGUACAUUCAGUACUACCCCAUAAAUACUGAAACAAAAAUUAAAAUAUAAUUUUCUUUUUGUACCUACUUCACCUAAAUGACAAAACUAAUGAAUCCAACAGCAACAACACAGGAAUUACAACUUCCAUAAACUGGUAAAAGUAACAAGGAUGUGCAGAUCACCCCAUCAAGAUUUAUUCUACAAAAUUCAUUACCUGACACCAUCUCAUACAGUUGUCACUCUUUAGCAUUUACAAAGUGACUAUGCUAACUGGUAGUAAAACAGAACCAACUUGGAAACACAGGAAAACCAGACAGGAUACCAUGAGAGGAAAUAGACUGGACAUAAAAUUACAGAGUUCAUUGUGCUGUGAUGAGGGAACUGUGGUGCAGUGUUUUGCAAAGUUAGUACGUCGGAAGAGGUGUGGAGGAAGUACCUACUUUACUAAAGAACUGUUAUACAAAGAUGGAAAUAAAAAGGACAGUAAUUAAAUGGAAAAUAAUAAACUGUUUUGCCUAAUGCAGUGCAAGCAAUUUAAAGCCUUUUAGUAUGCACACAGCAAGUUCACCAUAAAAGUCAGCCCCCGAAAGUUCUUGCUGAUCUGUUUUUGUGUGUGACUUUUAUUCAUGGAGAGGAUAUGUGAGCUGGCAUUACACAUAAGCAGUAGUGACAUUUAUGCUAACUUACAAAAAAUGUCACCUAUCUUUUUUUCCCCUGCAGAGUUUUUGUUACAAGCAUGAAGCAUUGGCAUUAACUUCAUUCAGUUAAGAGUUACCCAGUUUAAUUUUGCAAGCAAUGCAAAACUGAAUGGUCAAGCAUUUUCAGCAGUUUAGUUUAAGUAUUGUUUGUUAACUAUCAACAAAGCAAAUAAAAAAAAGUUGAGAUACGA